AUUGAACGCUGGCGGCGUGCUUAACACAUGCAAGUCGAUCGGUAACGCGGGGGCAACCCUGGCGACGAGAGGCGGACGGGUGAGGAACGCUUGGGAAUCUGCCUAUCAGCGGGGGACAACCCGGGGAAACUCGGGCUAAUACCGCAUACGCUCUACGGAGGAAAGCCGGGGACCGCAAGGCCUGGCACUGAUAGAUGAGCCCAAGUCGGAUUAGCUAGUUGGCGGGGUAACGGCCCACCAAGGCGACGAUCCGUAGCUGGUCUGAGAGGACGAUAAGCCACGCUGGGACUGAGACACGGCCCAGACUCCUACGGGAGGCAGCAGUGGGGAAGAUUGGACAAUGGGGGAAACCCUGAUUCAGCGACGCCGCGUGGGUGAAGAAGGCCUGCGGGUUGUAAAGCCCUUUCGGUAGGGACGAAAGCUCUCGACCUAACACGUCGGGAGGUUGACUUAACCUACAAAAGAAGCACCGGCUAACUCUGUGCCAGCAGCCGCCGUAACAC
rnacentral:rRNA from 1 species